AUUGAACGCUGGCGGCAUGCUUUACACAUGCAAGUCGAACGGUAACAGGUUAAGCUGACGAGUGGCGAACGGGUGAGUGAUGCAUCGGAACGUGCCCGGUCGUGGGGGAUAACGCAGCGAAAGCUGCGCUAAUACCGCAUACGAUCUGAGGAUGAAAGCGGGGGACCGUAAGGCCGGGCGCGAUCGGAGCGGCCGAUGUCAGAUGAGGUAGUUGGGGGGGUGAAGGCCCACCAGGCCGACGAUCUGUAGCUGGUCUGAGAGGACGACCAGCCACACUGCGACUGAGACACGGCCCAGACUCCUACGGGAGGCAGCAGUGGGGAAUUUUGGACAAUGGGCGAAAGCCUGAUCCAGCAAUGCCGCGUGCAGGAAGAAGGCCUUCGGGUUGUAAACUGCUUUUGUACGGAGCGAAAAGGUCCUUUCUAAUACAAGGGGCUCAUGACGGUACCGUAAGAAUAAGCACCGGCUAACUACGUGCCAGCCGCCGCAGUAACAC
rnacentral:rRNA from 1 species